rnacentral:lncRNA from 1 species
UUGCCACCAUAUUUUUGAUACUUUGAAACAAUGAUACAUCAAUAAGAGACAUAUAAAUAGACCAUCAAUGAAAUAACAAUGAAGUAAGAACUCAUUGGCACAUCAAUAAAGUGUUUUGGAGUCAUCAAUGCCAUAACAAUGAAGUAGGAACUUAUUGGUAUAUCAAUGAAAUGUUUUGGAGUCAUUAAUAGCACAUGGAUCUUGUUCGAGUAACCGGAUACCUUCUGACAUUCAUUAGUGCAAUAAACAUGUAAGAUUUGGAAAACAAGUAAGUAUUGAAAUGUCUUGNNN